AGCCGCUGAUGAUAAACUUUAUUUUCUGACACCUCAUAUGAGAGCUUUGCUCCUGAUUCUAAUGCUGUUCUGAGGCUU
ensembl:snoRNA